rnacentral:lncRNA from 1 species
AGAGAGUCUUUUGGCUGGAAACUUGAAAUUCAGUCCAUGUGUGGGCCGAAGUAACUAGAUGUCGUCUAGAACUGAAUACUCGAUAUGAGGCGGUUCUCCAUCUGAAAUGAUGCUCAACUAGAAGUAGCACAUGUUGCGAGGCUGCUCUGCUUGUGGCUUAUAUUGCCUUGGUUAGCUCGGCUUGUGGCGUUUGAAGGUGAGGGAGUCCCUUUU